rnacentral:rRNA from 1 species
AAAUGAAUUGACGGGGGCCCGCACAAGCGGAGGAACAUGUGGUUUAAUUCGAUGAUACGCGAGGAACCUUACCCGGGCUUGAAAUGUACCUGACCGAUCAUGAAAGUGGUCUUCUAGCAAUAGCAGGUAUGUAGGUGCUGCAUGGUUGUCGUCAGCUCGUGCCGUGAGGUGUCGGCUUAAGUGCCAUAACGAGCGCAACCCUCAUUAUUAGUUACUAACAGGUUAAGCUGAGGACUCUAAUAAGACUGCCAGCGUAAGCUGUGAGGAAGGUGGGGAUGACGUCAAAUCAGCACGGCCCUUACGUCCGGGGCGACACACGUGUUACAAUGGGGGGUACAAAGGGCAGCUACCGUGCGAGCGGAUGCUAAUCUCUAAAACCUCUCCCAGUUCGGAUUGGAGUCUGCAACUCGACUCUAUGAAGCUGGAUUCGCUAGUAAUCGCGCAUCAGCCAUGGCGCGGUGAAUACGUUCCCGGGCCUUGUACACACCGCCCGU